UGAAUACGAGAUGCUACGGCGUCGAAGCAGUGUAUGUCAGACUUCCAAGAAAAGCUCGCAAUGUCAUAAAUAAAGAAUGCCUGUACCAUAACCGACACAGGUGGGUAGGUAGAGUAUACUAAGGGGCGCGAGAUAACUCUCUCUAAGGAACUCGGCAAAAUAACUCCGUAACUUCGGGAGAAGGAGUGCCUUCCUUAAGAAGGUUGCAAUAACAAGAUCCAAGCAACUGUUUAUCAAAAACACAGGUCUCCGCUAAGUCGUAAGACGAUGUAUGGGGGCUGACGCCUGCCCAGUGCCAGAAGGUUAAAGAAGCUGGUUAGCAAUAGCGAAGCUGGUGACUGAAGCCCUGGUGAACGGCGGCCGUAACGAUAACGGUCCUAAGGUAGCGAAAUUCCUUGUCGGGUAAGUUCCGACCCGCACGAAAGGCGUAAUGAUUUGGAUACUGUCUCGGAGAGGGACUCGGUGAAAUAGACUUGUCUGUGAAGAUGCGGACUACCUGCACCAGGACAGAAAGACCCUAUGAAGCUUUACUGUAACCUGAAAUUGAAAUUGGACUUUAUUUGCGCAGUAUAGGUGGGAGGCGUUGAAAGUAAUCUUGCGGGAUUAGUGGAGCCAUCAGUGAGAUACCACUCCUAUAAUGUUAGAUUUCUAACUUUGGAUCAUGAUCUGGUCAAAGAACAGUUUCAGGCGGGCAGUUUGACUGGGGCGGUCGCCUCCCAAAUGGUAACGGAGGCGUACAAAGGUUUCCUCUGAACGGGUAGAAAUCGUAUCUAGAGUGUAAAGGCAUAAGGAAGCUUGACUGUGAGACCUACAAGUCGAGCAGGGACGAAAGUCGGUCUUAGUGAUCUGACGGUGCUGAGUGGAAAGGCCGUCACUCAACGGAUAAAAGUUACUCUAGGGAUAACAGGCUGAUCUCCCCCAAGAGUUCACAUCGACGGGGAGGUUUGGCACCUCGAUGUCGGCUCAUCGCAUCCUGGGCGGUAGUACGUCCCAAGGGUUGGGCUGUUCGCCCAUGAAAGCGGUACGCGAGCUGGGUUCAGAACGUCGUGAGACAGUUCGGUCCAUAUCCGGUGUAGGCGUUAGAAUAUUGAGAGGAGCCUUCUCUAGUACGAGAGGACCGAGAAGGACAUACCUCUGGUGUACCAGUUAUCGUGCCAACGGUAAACGCUGGGUAGCUAUGUAUGGAGAGGAUAACCGCUGAAAGCAUCUAAGUGGGAAGCCCACCUCAAGAUGAGUAUUCUCAC
rnacentral:rRNA from 1 species